ACACCAUGCGGCUGGGUUGCGUGGCUUUUGUGAUACUUUUCCUCCGCAGAUGUCUCGGUGCUGAAUUGACACAGUCUCCGAUGUCCAUCACCGAAAAUGUGGGCAAUCGGACACGCAUGACCUGCGAUCUGGGAUCAGCGAAUACGGACUAUAUCCACUGGUACCGGCAGUCAGAUGGGCAACGCCCAGUCAGGAUCCUCUAUUACAGUAAUGGGGUUAUCGUACGCGACGAUGGAAUUGAUGACAGAUUUAAAGCGAGCAAAGGUGGACCAAAGCAGAAUAGUCUAACUGUGACCCGUCUCGAGAAAGAGGAUUCCGGCACCUAUUACUGUGCCUAUUGGGACCCACAGAGUUAAACUGCAACCGGCGCCGCUGACAAAAACUCUUCCUCAGCGUAGAGGUCACACGAAUCAUUUCCAACUCAGCGAAUUCGCAGC